rnacentral:rRNA from 1 species
CUACGCACUCCUACGGGAGGCAGCAGUGGGAAUAUUGCACAAUGGGCGCAAGCCUGAUGCAGCCAUGCCGCGUGUAUGAAGAAGGCCUUCGGGUUGUAAAGUACUUUCAGCAGUGAGGAAGGUGGGUAUGUUAAUAGCAUAUUCAUUUGACGUUAGCUGCAGAAGAAGCACCGGCUAACUCCGUGCCAGCAGCCGCGGUAAUACGGAGGGUGCGAGCGUUAAUCGGAAUUACUGGGCGUAAAGCGCAUGCAGGUGGUUUGUUAAGUCAGAUGUGAAAGCCCGGGGCUCAACCUCGGAAUUGCAUUUGAAACUGGCAAACUAGAGUACUGUAGAGGGGGUAGAAUUUCAGGUGUAGCGGUGAAAUGCGUAGAGAUCUGAAGGAAUACCGGUGGCGAAGGCGGCCCCCUGGACAGAUACUGACACUCAGAUGCGAAAGCGUGGGGAGCAAACAGGAUUAGAUACCCUGGUAG